UAAAUAUGACUUUGCACCAUUUCCUCUGGAUUGCACAGCCAGCGUGCUCCCACUGCUGCACUCAGCCAAGAUCCCAAGGUCCCAAAACAUCUUUUUAUUACUGCACCAACAGAAAUCACCUGCCCUGUAUCACAGGGGCUUCCUGUCAUUUUGUGGGAAGGUGUUUCUAACUUCUUCAAGAGCAGCUCUGAUAUUGAUGAUAACGCCUUCAUGCACAUUCCUGUUGGAGUCCUUUGCCUUCAGAAACAUGUGACCCAAACCUGGCUUCUCCUCAACUAAACCCAUCAGAAGCAGAGAACAUCUUGGGAAGCACUGCGUCAGGGAUGUACUUAGGGAAAUGUGCCUCCUGUCUGGCUCAAUGAACUGCAUCGGAAGUACCACAAAUGCAGUGCAUCAAAACAUUUUAAUUUUAUUCAGGACUGCUGCUGGACCUGGAUAGAGAGAUCCAUGGGGAAUAUGUCACUGUCGGAGGAGUCAAAGACCAAAACACAAUGGAG